rnacentral:rRNA from 1 species
AACGAACGCUGGCGGCAGGCCUAACACAUGCAAGUCGAGCGAGGACUUCGGUUCUAGCGGCGGACGGGUGAGUAACGCGUGGGAAUGUGCCCUUCUCUACGGAAUAGCCCUGGGAAACUGGGAGUAAUACCGUAUACGCCCUUUUGGGGAAAGAUUUAUCGGAGAAGGAUCAGCCCGCGUUGGAUUAGGUAGUUGGUGGGGUAAUGGCCUACCAAGCCGACGAUCCAUAGCUGGUUUGAGAGGAUGAUCAGCCACACUGGGACUGAGACACGGCCCAGACUCCUCCGGGAGGCAGCAGUGGGGAAUCUUAGACAAUGGGGGCAACCCUGAUCGAGCCAUGCCGCGUGAGUGAUGAAGGCCUUAGGGUUGUAAAGCUCUUUCAGCUGGGAAGAUAAUGACGGUACCAGCAGAAGAAGCCCCGGCUAACUCCGUG